AAAAGACUAACAUCUUUCUCCCCAGACCAUUCCUCAAGGUGAAGGAACACGUGGUCUUUCCAGCUGCAGCAUUUGCCAUUCCCACGAAAAAUGUGUGAAGGUUUCAAUUUCUCUGCAUCCUUGUCAGCACUUGUUACUGUCCACCUUUGACUGUUGCCAUGGCAGUGGGUGUGGAGUAUGUUGCCUUUUAUGUAAAGAUGAAGAGGAAAGAAGAGUAUAAACGUUUAAAUGGUUGAAAACAAUAAAAGAAGACUCUUUGGCAGCACAUGAAAAGUAUUUGAAACUCAGGUUUCAAUGUCCAUAGACUGUUAAGGAUACACAGCCGAGCUCAUUUGUUUACAUACUUUCUGUGGGUGUUUUCCUGCUACUGAAGCAAAGGUGAGUAAUUGUAGCAGAGAUUGUGUGGUGCGCUUGCGGUUUUAUGCCAGUGGUUGGAACAAUGCAAAUUGCAGUCACACAGUUAGAACUCGGCGGCACUUGGAGUACCACACAUAUUGCCAUACUGUGAUUAAACAAGAAGUUUCCAGUGCUCAUCUUUAUGUCAGAACAAGAAAAGAAGACCAAAGUGGACUGACCAUCAUGCUUGUACAGCAUAAUGGAGUGUGGGUUCUGUUGUUAUUACAUUACACGGCAAGAUGUUGUGUUGUGUGAUGACACUAGAGCUGUGUUUAAAAACUACAGCAUACAUUAGUGGGACCACAACCACACUAAGCAUUCAUCCAAAUAUUCCCAAAUCAAAGGGGUGAUUAGAAAGAUUGGAAAAUUUAAGAUUGUCUUAAAUUUUCUUGUGAGAGAAAAUUCUAUCUUGUGACAGAAUUUCUCUUCAACACACAGGAAAAAAUGAAAAAGAAUCCGAUACCAAAAUUGGUUGUCAAGGGGCUCAUUUCUUAGCCAAGAAAGAAGCCAUUUAUAAGUGGCUCCUCUGUCCAUGGGAUUCUCCAGGCAAGAGUACUGGAGUGGGUUGCGAUGCCCUCCUCCAGGGGAUAUUCCCCGCCCAGGGUUCGAAUAACCUACGUCUCUUAUGUCUCCUGCAUUGAUCGGCGGGUUCUUUACUACUGGGGCCACCUGGAAGCUCUCAAAGACAUUAAUAAAACACAAAUUCAGCACAGCCUGAAGUAGAAUCAACUAAG
ensembl:lncRNA